rnacentral:rRNA from 1 species
GACGCUCUCCCCAAGGACACAAGCCAUGCAUGCCCGCGGACCCGGGAGGCGGCKGACGGCUCAGGACAACGAGUUGCACCCCCCGYGGCGGUCCCUGCUAGCCGGACUCCGCUGGCAACCCGGCGCCAAGACGUGCGCGCAAGGGCGGGCGCCCGCGGGCGAGCAGCGUGACGCAG